CCUACGGGAGGCUGCAGUGAGGAAUAUUGGUCAAUGGACGAGAGUCUGAACCAGCCAAGUAGCGUGAAGGAUGACUGCCCUAUGGGUUGUAAACUUCUUUUAUAUGGGAAUAAAACGUUCCACGUGUGGGAUUUUGUAUGUACCAUAUGAAUAAGGAUCGGCUAACUCCGUGCCAGCAGCCGCGGUAAUACGGAGGAUCCGAGCGUUAUCCGGAUUUAUUGGGUUUAAAGGGAGCGUAGGUGGAUUGUUAAGUCAGUUGUGAAAGUUUGCGGCUCAACCGUAAAAUUGCAGUUGAAACUGGCAGUCUUGAGUACAGUAGAGGUGGGCGGAAUUCGUGGUGUAGCGGUGAAAUGCUUAGAGAUCACGAAGAACUCCGAUUGCGAAGGCAGUUCACUGGACUGCAACUGACACUGAGGCUCGAAAGUGUGGGUAUCAAACAGGAUUAGAUACCCGGGUAGUC
rnacentral:rRNA from 1 species